rnacentral:rRNA from 1 species
UACGAAGGGGGCUAGCGUUGUUCGGAAUUACUGGGCGUAAAGCGCACGUAGGCGGAUAUUUAAGUCAGGGGUGAAAUCCCGGGGCUCAACCCCGGAACUGCCUUUGAUACUGGGUAUCUCGAGUCCGAGAGAGGUGAGUGGAAUUCCGAGUGUAGAGGUGAAAUUCGUAGAUAUUCGGAGGAACAUCAGUGGCGAAGGCGGCUCACUGGCUCGGUACUGACGCUGAGGUGCGAAAGCGUGGGGAGCAAACAGG